rnacentral:lncRNA from 1 species
CAAGAGCAAAACUCCAUCUCAAAAACAAAACAAAACAAAACAAAUCUUGUACCGUGUCCGCAUCCACAUGUUUUAGGGGAGGAAACCAGAGCUACAAGGCAAUUUAUUUCAACAGAGAAAUUCCCCCCUCUUCUUUGCUAAUGGCUACAGAUAAAGCUACAGACCCAGCGUCAUCAACAAAAGUAGCAAUUGACAUUUGUUGAGCACAGAGAAUGCAGCAGGGCUGAGCUGCAAGCUUUUAUCUGCAUCACCUCACUGCGUCCUCAAUGCCACCAUCUAAGGAAGAUGCAGGUAUUGUUGCAGUGUUCCUGUUACAGAGAGCCACGGAGGUCAGGCCAGUAGCUGCCUGAUGUCACAGAGCAAGCUGGAGGCAGGAUGGCAUCAGCAUUCCAAUCUGCCCUUUCCAGAGCCCUAGAGAGCAGGGUGCUCCUUCAGACCCCAGGCCUUGUCUCUAGCCCUUCCUAAGUCAUCUCACUUCUCCCUACUUCUCACCUUCUGCCUUGGGUCCAACCUACUCCUAGGCUAUGAAGCCAUCCACCAGCCUUACCUAGGCACAGGCCAAUGCACUGCUGCCUGGGACAACAGAACUGGCAUCACCCAAGAAUCCGAAGGACUCGGCUGAAUAAAGACCAUGAUCCGAAGUUAAAAGGAGUUUCAGUAGUCCCUCAAUGACCAACAGCCGACCUUAAGUUCACCACCAGAUGCUUCAUGACAAACUCACAAAGGCAAUAGCCACAAAGGGCCAACAACUUUCCCUGGGCAUCUAUCCAAGCCUGUCUUCAUGGUCCCUUCCAACAGCUGGACGUAUUGGCUGCCAGAUGUCCCUGAAACCGCAGGCUGCCUUACCUAUGUCAGGUAAUUUGGCUUCCCUGAUUGACCCAUCACUGAGAUCAUCACUAGCAGAAGGGAUACUGUUCCAGAACUAGCAGCCUCCAUUUCCUCCUCCUUGGGAUGUGUGUUGUGAGAAGCUCAUGUCACAUAAAAGGCAACAUGUGGGCACCUAAGCAGAUAAUCCCCAACUGAACACCCACUCAACAACUAGUGCCAACUGCCAUCCAUGAGCAUGCACCAUCUUGGAUGUUCCAGCCCAGUCAAGCCCCAGAUGACUGCAGCUCCAGCCAACAACACACGGAACAGAAGAACCACCCAGCUGAGCCCAGCCAAUCCCUGAGCCCAGGGAAUUAUGAUGAUGAAACUAUACCCUAAAGAGUUAAUGAAACCAAUGACAGAAAUUACUGAGUUUGCAGGAUAACAGAUAAGAAAAAAAAACAACUUGCUGAGAUGCUGAAAUUCCCUCCUCUUCUGAGUAUUUUUUUUUUUUUAACUCACAAGUUUUUUAAAAAGUUGGCAGUGGGCUAAAAUUAAUUGGAACCAGGAUGACCAACUGGAGAUUGUGCACAAGUUUGCUGACAUCACAGCCCAAAUUUCCACCACAUAUUUCAUACUAACUUCUCCCAAAUUUGCAUAUGCAACCUAUGAAGUAACAUAAAGAAAUAAGUACACACACCCAAGGACUUUCCAGACUUCCCCUUUCCCUCCACCAACCACCUGCUAAUCCCAGUAUCUACCCCCUAAGCCUUUCCUAAUAAAAAUACUGCCUUGAAGCCAGCCCAGAGUGGCAGAUUUGAGCUUGACUCCUGUGUCCUUGGGAGUCAACUUUCAAUAAGAAGCUUUUCUUUUCUCAAAAACCUGGCCAGGCACAGUGGCUCAUGCCUGUAAUCC